CUGACGGAGCAACGCCGCGUGAGCGAUGAAGGCCUUCGGGUCGUAAAGCUCUGUUGUUAGGGAAGAACAAGUACGGAGUAACUGCCGGUACCUUGACGGUACCUAACCAGAAAGCCACGGCUAACUACGUGCCAGCAGCCGCGGUAAUACGUAGGUGGCAAGCGUUGUCCGGAAUUAUUGGGCGUAAAGCGCGCGCAGGCGGUCCUUUAAGUCUGAUGUGAAAGCCCACGGCUCAACCGUGGAGGGUCAUUGGAAACUGGGGGACUUGAGUGCAGAAGAGGAAAGUGGAAUUCCACGUGUAGCGGUGAAAUGCGUAGAGAUGUGGAGGAACACCAGUGGCGAAGGCGACUUUCUGGUCUGUAACUGACGCUGAGGCGCGAAAGCGUGGGGAGCAAACAGGAUUAGAUACCCUGGUAGUCCACGCCGUAAACGAUGAGUGCUAAGUGUUAGAGGGUUUCCGCCCUUUAGUGCUGCAGCUAACGCAUUAAGCACUCCGCCUUUUUACGAUCCGAAAACCUUCAUCACUCACGCGGCGUUGCUCCGUCAGAC
rnacentral:rRNA from 1 species